rnacentral:misc_RNA from 1 species
AAGUAACAAGGUCUCCGUUGGUGAACCAGCGGAGGGAUCAUUACCGAGUUUACAACUCCCAAACCCCUGUGAACAUACCUAUACGUUGCCUCGGCGGAUCAGCCCGCGCCCCGUAAAACGGGACGGCCCGCCCGAGGACCCUAAACUCUGUUUUUAGUGGAACUUCUGAGUAAAACAAACAAAUAAAUCAAAACUUUCAACAACGGAUCUCUUGGUUCUGGCAUCGAUGAAGAACGCAGCAAAAUGCGAUAAGUAAUGUGAAUUGCAGAAUUCAGUGAAUCAUCGAAUCUUUGAACGCACAUUGCGCCCGCCAGUAUUCUGGCGGGCAUGCCUGUUCGAGCGUCAUUUCAACCCUCAAGCUCAGCUUGGUGUUGGGACUCGCGGUAAACCCGCGUUCCCCAAAUCGAUUGGCGGUCACGUCGAGCUUCCAUAGCGUAGUAAUCAUACACCUCGUUACUGGUAAUCGUCGCGGCCACGCCGUAAAACCCCAACUUCUGAAUGUUGACCUCGGAUCAGGUAGGAAUACCCGCUGAACUUAAGCAUAUCAAUAAGCGGAGGAAAAGAAACCAACAGGGAUUGCCCUAGUAACGGCGAGUGAAGCGGCAACAGCUCAAAUUUGAAAUCUGGCUCUCGGGCCCGAGUUGUAAUUUGUAGAGGAUGCUUUUGAUG